AGGUCUGCAUGUCUAGUAUAGCACUUUAUACUGUGAAACUGCGAAUGGCUCAUUAAAUCAGUUAUCGUUUAUUUGAUAGUACCUUACUACAUGGAUACCUGUGGUAAUUCUAGAGCUAAUACAUGCUGAAAACCUCGACUUCGGAAGGGGUGUAUUUAUUAGAUAAAAAACCAAUGCCCUUCGGGGCUCCUUGGUGAAUCAUAAUAACUUAACGAAUCGCAUGGCCUUGCGCCGGCGAUGGUUCAUUCAAAUUUCUGCCCUAUCAACUUUCGAUGGUAGGAUAGUGGCCUACCAUGGUGGCAACGGGUAACGGGGAAUUAGGGUUCGAUUCCGGAGAGGGAGCCUGAGAAACGGCUACCACAUCCAAGGAAGGCAGCAGGCGCGCAAAUUACCCAAUCCCGACACGGGGAGGUAGUGACAAUAAAUACUGAUACGGGGCUCUUUUGGGUCUCGUAAUUGGAAUGAGUACAAUCUAAAUCCCUUAACGAGGAACAAUUGGAGGGCAAGUCUGGUGCCAGCAGCCGCGGUAAUUCCAGCUCCAAUAGCGUAUAUUAAAGUUGUUGCAGUUAAAAAGCUCGUAGUUGAACCUUGGGUCUGGCUGGCCGGUCCGCCUCACCGCGAGUACUGGUCCGGCUGGACCUUUCCUUCUGGGGAAUCUCAUGGCCUUCACUGGCUGUGGGGGGAACCAGGACUUUUACUGUGAAAAAAUUAGAGUGUUCAAAGCAGGCCUUUGCUCGAAUACAUUAGCAUGGAAUAAUAGAAUAGGACGUGCGGUUCUAUUUUGUUGGUUUCUAGGACCGCCGUAAUGAUUAAUAGGGAUAGUCGGGGGCGUCAGUAUUCAGCUGUCAGAAGUGAAAUUCUUGGAUUUGCUGAAGACUAACUACUGCGAAAGCAUUCGCCAAAGGAUGUUUUCAUUAAUCAGGGAACGAAAGUUAGGGGAUCGAAGACGAUCAGAUACCGUCGUAGUCUUAACCAUAAACUAUGCCGACUAGGGAUCGGACGGUGUUUCUAUUAUGACCCGUUCGGCACCUUACGAGAAAUCAAAGUUUUUGGGUCUGGGGGGGGAAUAUGGUCGCAAGGCUGAAACUUAAGAAAUUGACGGAAGGGCCCACCAGGCGUGGAGCCGGGGCUUAUUUGACUCACACGGGGAAAAUCUCCCGGGCCGAACAAAAAAAGGAUGGAGAAAAGGAGAACCCUUCUUGUUUUUUUGGAAGGGGGGGGCGGGCCGCCUUCUUUGGGGGGGGGAUUUGUGUGUUUUUUUGUAUAAAAAAAAGAAACCCGCCCCUAAAAAAACGGCCGCGCUUUUUGGCGCGCGCCUUUUUGGAGAAAAAAACCCCCCCAAAAAAGGCGGCAAAAAAAGUUGUUUUUUUUUUUU
rnacentral:rRNA from 1 species